rnacentral:miRNA from 1 species
CAGGCAGCUGGUUGGUGGAAG